rnacentral:rRNA from 1 species
GUAACUUGGUGGCAGCAGCGGGGGUAAGACGGAGGGGGCGGGGGUUGUCCGGAAGUAGUGGGCGGCAAGAGUUCGUGGGCGGGGGGUCGCGGUGGCCGUGAAAACGUGCAGCUUAACGGUGGGCGUGCGGUGGAUACGGGCAUCACUGGAGUUCGGCAGGGGAGACUGGAAUUCCUGGUGUAGCGGUGAAAUGCGCAGAUAUCAGGAGGAACACCGGUGGCGAAGGCGGGUCUCUGGGCCGAUACUGACGCUGAGGAGCGAAAGCGUGGGGAGCGAACAGGAUUAGAUACCCGAGUAGUC